AAAGUAGAAGCAGUGUAAUUGCGCCUUUCUAAUUCGUAAUACGCGUGCCGAGCCCGGCGGAGAUUUCAGGAUCGUGUCGCGUACUCACCGAGCCGCCUUGUACUGCACCUAGCGGCUGUCACUGAUCAGGAUCGUUCUCUGAAUUGCUGAGUACCCCAAAGAAUCCUGCGGGCAGGUGGAGGACCAGGGUCACUUCGCACACAGAUCGACAAACCCGGAGACGACCAGGAUCACAGCCCACUCAACAUUGAAGUUUCGAGGGACGUCCAUGUUCGAUGUCCUAUAGUCGUCUUUCCCCGUCAAGGAAGGGUUUCGUCGAGCUUGAGUGGCGUGGAGGCGCUCCAAGGAUGUCGGCGACUCCCCUAGUCGUCGAGAACGACGCAACUACGAUAGAAUUGGAAUCGGAAUCGGUCUAGAGCCAGCGGCCAUCCGUAAGAGGGCCUUGCCGAAUGUUUUUCGGCGACUCCCGUCGCCGCCGAAAAUCGCGAAAGGUUAUUGUCGAGCGAGCAACUACAGCGAGCGAGCGAUUGUGUACAAACGAAUAAACCGGGACGCAUAUUGUGACAACGGUAGAGGAGCCACGGAGUAGAGGUGGCGGAAAUUGGAUACCCGAGGAUCGCGAGCAACGAUUGCUUCACUUGAACUUUUAGUGGCCGCCGCGUCGAUUUAUAAUCGCCCCGGUGAUGUAGCUACCCGUUUCUAUGGAACGGUCCAGAUGUUAUGUACCGGGUGAGCGGAAUCCGGGGACCUGGAAUUUGUUCGGCGAUAGAGCAUGGCUGAUUUAGCAGCGAUGAUUCGACGAAUCUGAAACGUGGAACGCUUUUGUGCGAGGUCCGUUCUUUUUCUGGGAGAUAGCGCGUUCAUCCCCGUUUGCACGGGGAGCAAACGGGAAGUUUCUUUGUGAUUAGUAGACUGCGGAUCUUUAUGCAAAAUACAAAUUUCGUGCAACGACGGUAAGAAACAGAAAUAAAAUGAAAAUGAACUAUCUCUUGUAAACAAUUCUGUUAAUUUGAAUAUAGUGUAAGAAUAUCAUUGAACUCUUCUUAUGUGUCUUCAUACUUUUAUAUUUCAUUUACUCAUUUUUGCCAUAAAUGCAUAAACUCCGCAGUAAGUUUAUAUUAAGUAAUGUAAAAGUGUUGCUUCAGUUUAAAUGAUUGUACAGUAAUUUUUAGUAGCCUCUCGGGGUUGUUAUUCGAGCGAGCAGGGUUAAAAAGUCGUGUUAAAUUAUUCGACAAACUACAGUGCAUCGUUUGUUUAUUUAUUCAUUUAUUUAUUUACGGAUAAGAUACCCUUUGCUUUACACAGAUAUAUUAACAAAUAUGUAUGAUCACUAUUAUUACAAUAAAUUGUAAAAUGUAGAGCAGUUCGAUCGUUCUCCGCGGUAUAACGGAAAACAUUUCAUCACUUUUAUUCCGACAAAACGAUUAAAUGGAAGAAAACAACAGGAUAAAAAGUAAAAUUGCUGGUCAGAUUUUUGAAAGUCAGGGGUGUAGUUUAGACGAUAUCGAAUCUCGCAAAGCACCGUUUCCUAUCCGCGUUUUCCAUUUGCUUUAUAUUCUACGUUCCCCUGCACUCGCGGGACUGUCAUCCCUUUCUUCAACGAUAGUUGAACGCCGCCGGCUGAAAUCGCGGUAAAAUUUAUAUCCGUUAUAAAUAUCGAUGAUUAAUCGUGACCAUGAAUGCACCCUGCGGAUUCGAGUGGCACGGUCGUCUGACCUAUCUCGCUGGAACCCAGAUAGAAGAGGGGAGGGAGGGUCGACGGAUUGCGAAUGUGCAAUCGACGCAAUGAGUUCGCGCGUUAAAUUAUUUUCUUCCAACAAUAAGCCCAUUGUCUUUUCGACCCAUCAAUUGAUCGAUGCUCCCGUUACACUUAAAUUGAAAAAAAUGUACAAAAUGCUACUGUCAUCUCGAUGUAGAAUUUAAUCAAUUUUCUCGUGCUCGUAUUUCUGUUUAGAGACUUCGCGACCACUGUUAUAUUUUUGUUGCGAUCACCGUUUCAUUGAAUUUCAAGAAAAAAUUGUUUCAUUUACACACACCUACAACUAAAUCACAAUUACGCUAUACUAAACAUUAUUACAUAACAUCUUUUGAGUAAUAAAACAGUUAUUAAAAAUCUAA